AACACUGUAGAGGCCAAAUGUUCAGCUGUUCUAACCCCACUAGAUCUUUCUUUUCCCUGCUCCUUCCUGGUGCUGCCCCAUUGACCCUAAGGAAGAGGAGAGCAACUAACCAGACUAGUCAGGUUUCCAAGCUUCUUGUAGCAACAGGUGGGACUCAAGCCAUGCAGACACACGCUGUGUUCUCUCUUCUCCCUCCUGUCCUGAUGCUGGUUGGUACAACAAAAACCCUGGAUAUUAGAUAUAAAACCAAGAAGACUCUGAAAGGUGGAGAGAAGAAUACAGACUUCCUAGAGACCUCUGGACUCUAGCAACAUCAUGGUGGGGGCACCUGUGACAAGCACUGUGAGCUCAGAAAGAUCUAAAAUGUGCAGGGCACUAAAAUUUGCAUAUCUGGUUGUUUUCUCCUGAAGACCCCAGGAAACCUGGCCAUUUAGAAUGAUCACAAACAUUUGAAUAAAGCAGUUUACAAGCAUGAAAGGAUGCACAGGAAAGAGAUGAAGAAAUAGAGGAGUCAGAGAGGUAAUUGUAGAGAAAAAUGCUAAUCCACUAUAAACAGCAGCAGCAGCAGUAACUUGGAGUGUUGUCUUCUGGAUUUCUAAGCUGAUUGUGUCCAGCAUGUAUAUUGGAGCAGAGUCUGAUUUAAAAUGUUCUAUCCUGAUUUUAGACUAUACCACCUGAUGGAUGCCACCUGAUAAGAUUCGGGAGGAAUGAGAAUGGCAUUGCUAUCCAACAGUCCUUACCUCGGUGGAUCAAUACAAUGUCAGAGCAGAGAAGGAAUUAAAGAAGAUAAAGACCCCUGUUCUUCAACAGGGUGCUUGGGCAUUUGAGGCAGGAUAUGUUUUCCCUAGUAAUUGUGAUGACCCCCAAAUGCCCCACUUGUCAUAUUUCUGUAUGUUCCCAGGAGAGCAGUGCACCUAUUUAAAAAUCACACAAUUCUAGUCUCAUCUCUUUCUUUUAUGGCUGAGGAAAUGGAUUCCUGAAGAGGUUGAGUGACUGGCCCAAGGCCACACAGUACGACAGCAGCAGGGCAAAAACUAGAAUUUAUAUCCAUUGUUCCUUCCUCACUACUGGGCUGCGCCUCCAACCCUACUCAUCAUUUCUCUAACAGAAUUCAUUCCUUUGGGAUUAGGGUUUGCAUUUUCAUUAAUCUCCACCAAUGUCAAAUAUUACUAGGAAGUAAGAGAUACUAUGUAAACCUUGAGUUACUUUAGAAACUUAAACAUAUCAGGACAAAGAAAUGUUGAAAUGUUGAGUGCCAGGGAUGCUGCUCAGAUAGGACAACAGAGAAUGGAAGGGGAUGCUGGGGUGGGUGGUCAUAUUCAGAUGGAGGCUGUUUCUAUAGUGAUGUGAUCAGUUUGGCAGACAUAUGGCUAUAAAACAUAUAGACUAGGUAUCAGGUAGGGCUGUGAAGUGAGCCUCUUGACUUCAGUUUAUAGUCACACCCCAUAGAAUUUAUGUCAUGAAUUCAUCUUCGGGGCAGCUUUUUUCUAGUACUCUUGUUCUAUCUGGAUUUAUUUCUAGCUUCUUAAACUCAGCCCACUUUAGAUCUAGGAUUCCAGCCCAACUCUUCAAUAAAUCCCUUCUUGACCUGAGACAAUUUGGAGCAAGCACUUGAGGGAGCAUAGGCUUGGCAUUCAGCCAGACCUGUGGCUGAGUCUCAGCCUUGGUGCUUCCCAAGUUGCUAUGACUUUGGGCACCCCUUAACCUCUCCAAAGCUCCAUUUCCUUUUCUGUAAAAUGAGGGGGUCAGGAGGUUUACAGGAGGGAGUGUGUGUAAUAUAAUUGGCACCCGGAUGGUACCAUAUGUUGGCAUUCACUCCUCUCUGCCUAAUCAUAAAUAAUCUUAAAUAAAAUUAUUUUCCAUUUAAAAAAUUCCUAUGGAUUUUCCAGUCUCUUCCUCAGCCAGUUUUCCUGUUGUCCUUUAAGUGUGUGUGAAGGGGCAUUUUGUUUCAUAUUACAGAAUCUGCAGUAGCUUACAUACAUAUUCAAGUGCAUUCAAGGGAGCUCAGUUUGUCACUGAGCUUCCCGGUUUUUCCAUUGCCACUAAUUCUGUAAGAUACAUUUGCAUAGGGUGCUCAGAGACCAUUAAAGCUCUGUAAAGCCCUGAAAUCACAUGUAGUAAGCAUGCGGUUAUACCCUCUAAAAUUUACAGUACACUGCAACCAAAUUGCUCAGUUUGUUCAGGAUUGAUUCCUUAUGAGGCUCUACUCUGCAUAAAACAGAGACCAAGUCCUCACUUUAUGUCUCUUCAUCCUCGCAGAAAUCAUAGUCCAUUAUCGGGCAGCCUGCAGGGAUCCAUUACUGUUGGUGAAAGGGAGCUCUUUCAGAAAGUUUUCCUUAAGGACCUGGGUUUUAGAUAUGCCCCUCUGCUUGUGAGAUGUGCCACUGAUUAGCGUCUGUGUUGUGACAGAGUGAUUAUGCAUGUUGUGAAUAAACAUGCUUAUGUACGCAUGUGUGCUGUCACAGCAAUGAGUAGCAUCCAAUAAAUACCGGGUUAAGAGCAUGCCAGCAUCUUCCUAACAGCUGGCACAGCUGAAAAACUUGCCUGCCUUAUUAACACUCCACUUAUCUGGGAUCUGCUCACUGAGCAGAAACAACUUCAUAAAUUUUUGUAAUUUGCAUUCUGCCUUGCUGUUGCUCAUUACCAUUGACCUCAUCCCUCCUGUGCUAGAGAGGACCGGCCUUCCACGGCCCUGCCUGCCGGAUGCACCUUACCUCUGCCUGUCAACAUCAGAGGCAGAGUCAGGAUUAAGGCUUGUUGCUGCUACCAGGGCUGUGAAAGAAUCGGGGUGAUUUUUCCUCCCUUCAUUCUGGAGAAAGUGACACUUCCACAGUCCCUUCUUCCUCUUGUCCAUUUGUAACCUCUUCUUUCUGAGGCAGAUUAAAAUGGAGAGGACCAAACCUUCCUCUGAAUGGGAGAAAAGAAACAGGCAGGCAGCAAUUUGGUUGUCCAAGAAAAUAUUCUAAUCCUUUCUCAGUGUCAUUCAGAGACUACUCAAUUGUGUUUACAAUGUAUGUCAGUUUCUCACUUAAUCAUUCUAAUCUAGUUUCCUAGCCUUUUAACCUUUCUCUCCUUUGCCCUGGCUCUUUUAUUCUGUGUUGUGUUUUCAGCUGUUUCAUUAGACACAGUUCACGACUCAUAGCAUCCAGUUAAAUAUAUUUUCAGGCCAGGUGCCUUUUCUUAUUGGCCUGUGUUGUAGGGGAAGCUGAUUCCUUCCUUCCCUUUCUAUAUGGGACCCUUCUAUAUGUCACCCCCCCCUCAAAAAACUCCUUAUUAUCCUUGAUUAAAAGUGGUGAUCUGACUGUUGUCUCAGGUCUCUCUCAAACUGCUCCCCUCAAGGGUCCCAGAGCCCCAAACCCCUGUGAACUAGAGGCAGCUCCUGAAAGCAAUAGAACCUUUGAGCAGAGGCUUCAUUAAAAAUCACAUCACGAACCUGGUUUUAUUUUUUUCCCCUCCCUGACUUGAUGAAAACAAAACAAGAAGAGGUAGGGAGGGAGAAAGGAGGAGAGGUAGAAGCGAAUUGCUUAAUGGAGACAGUCUGAAUAUUUAAUAUGCUGAUUUUAUUGAAUAAAAGGUGAAAAAGUGGUUCUUGUUUGUUGCUUGCCUGUCAAACCAUGGCAAACAAGCAUUCUUUUCCCUGACUGGAGCUUUUUAUUACUGUAUGGAUUCUAGAGUGUAAUUAUGCCCUAUAUCUGAGCUGCAUUAUACACACAAUUACAAUUUCCCAGCUGAACUAUUUAUUUAUUACCAGAGGAAUAUUUGUUCAGUCCUUGGAGGAUUUUUUUGGGUGAUGACUCUCAUUGUCUUGCCCUUCAUCGGUAAGGAAUGUCCAGAAGGAGCCCCUUACUCUGAGCCCCUGGCUUGUCUGUUGACAGUUUGGAUGAACUUCCCAGCUACAUUUAUUCAUGCUGUUGGAGACAGAUGCUGGGCAAAAGAAAUUUUAGGGCUAUAAAUGUUUAAGAAUGUUUACACUGUUUUCAGAGCUUUCAUGGGAAGGACUUUUUAUUCUAGCUAUUAUCAUCUUAUGAAAUCUGAUUUGAAAUCAUUUUAGAAAAUAGCUUUCUCUAGGUACAGCCUGCUUGCCUAGCAGUUCAUAAAGAAAGAAGAGCCCACAGCUAAAUAGAAUUCACGUCAAUAAACAUUUGUUGAAAACUUUACCAUGAGCCAGGCACUAUUGUGGGCAUUAGGGCAUAGAGUGGAGGAAAUCUCAGUUCUUAUCCCAGAGGUCUUAUAGUUCAUCAUGAGAAGCAGAUUAAUUAAGAGAAAUGUAGUGAGUGCUACAAUAUUGGUUCAUUCAUUUAUUUUAAUUUUUGCUGAUUUUAUGCUGCGUACAAACACUAGAUAGGGGAUACACAUAUGUUGAAGAAAAUAAAUAUGAUCUUCACUCCUCAGGUGUGGCUUCUACCCUCACCAUAGAAGGACAAAGGAGGAGGGCCAGAUGG